rnacentral:rRNA from 1 species
UGGGGAAUAUUGCACAAUGGGCGCAAGCCUGAUGCAGCGACGCCGCGUGAAGGAAGAAGAUUUUCGGAUUGUAAACUUCUAUCAGCAGGGAAGAUGAUGACAGUACCUGACUAAGAAGCCCCGGCUAACUACGUGCCAGCAGCCGCGGUAAUACGUAGGGGGCAAGCGUUAUCCGGAUUUACUGGGUGUAAAGGGUGUGUAGGCGGCUUGAUAAGUCAGAUGUGAAAGCCCGUGGCUCAACCACGGGACUGCAUUUGAAACUGUCAAGCUAGAGUACAGGAGAGGCAAGUGGAAUUCCUAGUGUAGCGGUAAAAUGCGUAGAUAUUAGGAGGAACACCGGUGGCGAAGGCGACUUGCUGGACUGUAACUGACGCUGAGGCACGAAAGCGUGGGGAGCAAACA